rnacentral:rRNA from 1 species
UACGGAGGGAGCUAGCGUUAUUCGGAAUUACUGGGCGUAAAGCGCACGUAGGCGGCUUUGUAAGUAAGAGGUGAAAGCCUGGAGCUCAACUCCAGAAUUGCCUUUUAGACUGCAUCGCUUGAAUCAUGGAGAGGUGAGUGGAAUUCCGAGUGUAGAGGUGAAAUUCGUAGAUAUUCGGAAGAAACACCAGUGGCGAAGGCGGCUCACUGGACAUGUAUUGACGCUGAGGUGCGAAAGCGUGGGGAGCAAACAGG